GACGAACGCUGGCGGCGUGGAUUAGGCAUGCAAGUCGAACGGUAUCAUCCUUUCGGGGGUGAGAGAGUGGCGAACUGGUGAGUAACACGUAGGUUAUCUACCCUCAAGACGGGGACAACCCAGGGAAACUUGGGCUAAUACCGGAUGUGAGCAACUUUUAGUUGUUUGAAAGGUGGCGUAAGCUGUCGCUUGGGGAUGAGCCUGCGUCCUAUUAGUUAGUUGGUGAGGUAACGGCUCACCUAGGCAAUGAUAGGUAGGCGGCCUUAACGGGUGGUCGCCCACACUGGGAUUGAGAUACGGCCCAGACUCCUACGGGAGGCAGCAGUCGAGAAUAGUCUACAAUGGUCGGAAGACUGAUAGUGCGACGCCGCGUGAACGAUGAAUCCCUUCGGGGUGUAAAGUUCUUUUAUAUGUGAGCAGUGCUUCUUAUAUUAACAGUAUGGGGAAGAGAUAUUAGCAUAUGAAUAAGCAACGGCUAACUCCGUGCCAGCAGCCGACGGUAAAACG
rnacentral:rRNA from 1 species